CCGUGCAUGGUUGAUCGCCACCCUCACUUACUGGAGCGCGUGGCCGCAUUUUUUUUAUUGUUUUGCUCUCGUUAGCAUCGCUACAAGGAACCCUCUGCAUCCCCUUCCUCUCCCUUCCUCUGCCAGCACAUUACUACACUUCAGUGCCGUCCCUCCCGCCGUCGUGGCCGCGUCUUCUCGAGGAUGCCGCCAAAGGCCAAGGCGGCGGAGCCGAAGCCCAAGUCCAAGAAGGCACUGGCGCUGCAGGCCGCCAUCGACCAGUCUACGAAGGAAGCGCAGAAAACAUACAAGCAGCAUGAACAACUCCGCACAAAAGCGGAUCAGGUGGAGAAGAGCCAGCGCGAGUACCUGCUUCUCGAUGAGACUGUCGCGCGGGAACGGAUUAAGGAAGAAAAGAAGCGCUAUCGCGCCGCCGUGGCGGAUCUGAGGACGGAGGAGCAGCUUGCCUUUGCCACCUACAUCAAGCACGACCAUUGGGAGCACAUUUCAGAAGCAUCGCGUUUGCCGAAUGUGCACAGCGAGGCGGACAUCAACGACUUCCUCAGCAGCUGGAAGAGUCGUCAGGCGGCCAAUGAUCGGUAUGAGCCGGACACCGUUGUCAUCGCUUCCCGCGCGCCAAACAGCACAGAGGACGGAAAGCUGCUCUUCAUUCGCGGUGAGCAGCGCUUGCCGCCGCAGAAGCGCCGGGCGCUCAUUAGGGGGGAGCUUCUGCAGUGCUACGACGCCUACGAGCUGGCGGAAAAGAUCAAAGAUGACCGGGACACCUACAACUCGAUUGCUUCCACGGCCGCGUUUCAGAAGCCCAUGCCAUGGGCCUCCGUCUUGCAGCAGGUGUAUCUUCAACUGCGUGCGACGUUUGAUUUCGUGUCGACGCAGACCUUGCGGUUUUACGACCAGGUGAUCGACAGCGCGGACGGCGAAACGGUCACGCGCACCGUGUCUGCGGCGAACCCGGUUAUCAAGUUCGGGCUGUGGGUCAAAACAAAGGAUGUGACACGCAGCUUCACGUCGCUUGCUUUCCCAGAGAUCGAGGUGCGCCUUGACCCAAAGCAGAACUCGCUGCCCAAGCUGCCCAAAAUGCUGGGCCUCAGCAAGGAGAAUAUCGCCGUGCGUGCGGUGCAGCUGGCCUUUGACCCCUACUCCUGCUACGUCUCACGCCGCAGUCAGUACUACGCGCUUGACUGCACCAUCAAGAUUGACCUCCUCACUUUCGCCGAGCGACCGCGGCCCAACGGAGAGUGGUUGCUGCGCAUGGAGACGCCCGAGUCGCAUAGGCUCCACGUAGAAGAGUACCCGCCGCGAACCGCCGAGGCCCGCGUCGAGGACCCGGCACUGCGUAUCUCCUUUGAGGUACCGAAGUCCAUCGUGAUCCGCCAGCCAAGCCUGUUCAUCGGCAGAUGGAAUGAGGAGACGCAUGAGUGGGAGCCGUGCAGCGGGGCAACGCUUGGCGCGUCAUUUGGUCCCACCGUGCGCGUUGCGGAGAACCCGCGGCGGGCGACGUUUAUCGCCUCCGAGCUCGCCCAGUUCGCUGUUCUUCACGAAACCGUGUUCGACGUCGUCUAUGAAAGCUGGAGCCUCAAGCCUUUUGACGGGAGCCGUAUCCUCGUUACGCUGGAAGGCCGUCACCGCGGCGACGCCACCGAUCGCGAGUUCCGCUUUCUGCUUGAGGACGCCAAGUGCCGGCUUCUCUCUCCCGAAGACGACGAGCUGGCGCCGCUGCGCACCUCGUGCUGGAGCCCGGCGGUGCUGCUGCGCAAGCUCAAACAAAGCGGUUUCAACUUUCUUGUUCGUGAUGAGGAGGCGUGCUUCUUAGAAAAUGUUAUCCCGAAAACCCGCCAGCUCGAGGAGAAGGCGUACGCGGAUAUGGCGCAGUUCAGUCAGUACUUCACGAUUGCCAGCUCGCGCCACAACAAGAACGGCGAGGACGCGGAUAUGGCCCUUUUUCGCGUCUCGAAGCGUUGGCUGCGGCCCGGCGAAGAGGACGAGAGCUUCGACAUCCCUACCACUUCUGAUUUGUGGCACUCGAUCCGCUACCGCACCGACGACUGCGCUCUCGCCUGCUUCACUGAGUUGGAUGAGACGACAAACAUGAGCAUCCUUGACGGCGCCGAAACGCACUAUAACCUGUACAGCCUCCUCACGCCUGUGGAAGGCGAGGAGUCGUUGCGUGGACAGCUGCUCAACACGAACUACCUGCUGCGGCGGUGCGUUCUGGAGUUUCUGCAGCUCGUCCGCCCACUCACGUGGGGCUGAGCGUUGAAAGAGGAGCAGAGGAGCAGGAAUGGCCGUCGCUACCGUGGUAAGACCUGUAGUGCUUAGGAGGGCCGCGGUUUAAGGGCAGUGAUGCGAAGGCCUAUGCGAGAGCGCCGUCUACCUUGCCCGAUUCCCUUCUGUUCGUGCUUCCGUGGAAAGCGUCGUAUGGAGGAGAGGCCGAUGCAGCGUCGCUCUCUCCCCUCCUCCCCCGCCUCUUGCUCACGGACCAGGCACCUUCUUUUUUCUGAUUGUUUGUUGGUUUCUUCGCUCCUCUCCAUGCAUGUAAAGUAGCGCACUUAUCAGCGCGAAAUCAGGCUCGCUUUUCUCCAGCUGCAACAGCUCCUGACAUUGGCCAAGCCGAAAAAAAAAAGACAAAGAACACAAGGGGGGAGGGAUGGGUGAGCGCAUCUGCCUCCCCAGUUUUCGCCCUCCUGCCUUCAAUUUGCAGCGCGGUCUUUCGAGCCCAUAUGCGGCUGUUCUUUUUUUUCUUUCCUGUUCGAUCCGCAAUGCCGCCUUCCCGAUGUGACGCACCUCGUAGAGUGGCGAGGCUUCUCGCGACACCG
rnacentral:misc_RNA from 1 species